rnacentral:rRNA from 1 species
UACGGAGGGUGCAAGCGUUAUCCGGAUUUACUGGGUUUAAAGGGUGCGUAGGUGGACUAGUAAGUCAGUGGUGAAAUCUCCGGGCUUAACCCGGAAACUGCCAUUGAUACUAUUGGUCUUGAAUACUUUGGAGGUAAGCGGAAUAUGUCAUGUAGCGGUGAAAUGCUUAGAUAUGACAUAGAACACCAAUUGCGAAGGCAGCUUACUACACAACGAUUGACGCUGAGGCACGAAAGCGUGGGGAUCAAACAGG